AGACCCUACCUUUAAAGAGUCAGAAGACCUUGAACUACUGGGCAUCUGACAAGACAUCUAGGUGGACACCCCCCGACGGCAGCAUGCCCCAAUGCGCGUGGACUGCGAGGGCCCGUUCAUCGCUGCUUGCAGCUUUAAUUAUUAUUAAGAUGGCCAUCUACAUGCUGUCCUUCGUAUCGCCACGACGGAGAUGGAGCCGGACAUCAGAGGAAUCAUGGCCAACCGAAAACAGCACCACAAAUCCCAUGCCAAUAAAAAAAGGUUUUCCUGUGGUGCUUUGGUAGCUGGAAUUGCUCCUGAAUAAGGUCCAUGCUGAUAAGACAGGAAGCAAGGCACCCUGAGACUGACUGUUUGUUCUAAAUAAGUUUUUACAUAUAUUCUGAAAUGGACUGCACACAGGACUGUUAUAUCCCAAAUUUGACUGUAGAGGGCAGAAAACCCCAUGGAUUUUGUGUGCAUUACAAUGUUUUCUCAAGGUUUUCUCAAGUUUUGCCAGGUUUAGCCUCAUUUAUUAAUUAAAAUGUGCUUAUUGCACAUUACUGGAUGCAGACCAAUAAAUGUAAAUUGUAGAGAUGCAACCUGGUCAUUAAAAUGAUUAAAAAUGGGAU